ensembl:lncRNA
UCUCAGGUAGAGGCAAUAUGCACUCUUUAUUGCUUUAAUGGCUUGGCAUUUUUCAGCAGCAAGCCAAGAAGUGAAAAACAGGUAGAGAGAAAAUUUAGCAGAGAGAACAGAGAGAGCAGGAAAGACACGGUUUUGAAAUCAAACCGUAGAGUUUUCUUUGUUUGUUCAGUUUGUUCAAAGGUUGAGGCAAAAUAUGCACUCUUUAUUGCUUUAUUGGCUUGUGCAUUUCUCAGCAGCAAGCCAAAGAGUGAAAAACAGGUAGAGAGAAAAUUUAGCAGAGAGAACAGACAGAGCAGGAGAGACACGGUUUUGAAAUCAAACCGCAAUAAGAUUCUUGGUUUGGCAAAAUUUCUCACAAACCACAGGGUGAAAUACAGAUGGAAAGAAGGCAGAGACAACAGGUGGAGCAGGACAGAGGAUAGAGGGGAUGGGGGGUUGGGAUGUGACAGAGAAGACUGGAGAUCUGGUCCUUGUUCUUCUGCACACUGUGAACAAAAAAGAAGAAAAAAAUAAUAAUUUUAUUAAAAUUAUAUCACAUGGUAAUUGUAUGAACUAAUUGUGACUACUGAAAAAGGACAAAACAAAUAUUGAAGCUAAACUGUUGUUGGCUGCCAUGUGCAAAAAGUUGCAUAAUUGGGCACUUUUUAAAAGAAUAUUUAUUUAAAUUCAGCAAUAAUAUUUUUAAUACAAAUAUGAUUGAGUGAAUCAUUA